CCUUUACCUACUGAAUCAUCUUGCUAGGCCUCUUGUUUUGAGUUUGAAACAAAAAUCUCACUUUAUUGUCCAUACCAGCCUCAGACUCCCAGUCUUCUUAUCUCAGUUUCCCAAGUAGCUGGACUGCAAAGGCAAGCCACUGAACUCGACAAACUACAAUGCUUUCAACAGGCCCUGCUGGCUCUGACUCUGUAUUCAUGAAGCGCCCAGGUAUGUGUGCAUGUGCUCAGUUCCGACAAACUGUUGGAAACCCCAAGCAGCAGUGGCAAGCAGCAGCCUGGUAGCUUGGAGGUAUCCACAGCUGUGCAUCUUGUGUAUUGGACAAACAGCCCCACAGCAGGCUAUGGAGACAGCUGUCCGUGCUUCUUCAGGGAACCAGGAACAAAGAAAACUACAGCAAAGCAAUGAAGUAGUACAUUGCAGGCAAGCACUCCACCAAGUUACAGUUCCAGCUUUCUAAUUCUAAAUUCUCCCAACCUCAAUCUUACUCAUCCCCCCAACUC